AUUGAACGCUGGCGGCAGGCCUAACACAUGCAAGUCGAACGGUAGCACAGAGAGCUUGCUCUCGGGUGACGAGUGGCGGACGGGUGAGUAAUGUCUGGGAAACUGCCCGAUGGAGGGGGAUAACUACUGGAAACGGUAGCUAAUACCGCAUAACGUCGCAAGACCAAAGUGGGGGACCUUCGGGCCUCACACCAUCGGAUUGGCCCAGAUGGGAUUAGCUAGUAGGAGGGGUAAUGGCUCACCUAGGCGACGAUCCCUAGCUGGUCUGAGAGGAUGACCAGCCACACUGGAACUGAGACACGGUCCAGACUCCUACGGGAGGCAGCAGUGGGGAAUAUUGCACAAUGGGCGCAAGCCUGAUGCAGCCAUGCCGCGUGUAUGAAGAAGGCCUUCGGGUUGUAAAGUACUUUCAGCGGGGAGGAAGGCGGUGAAGUUAAUAGCUUCACCGAUUGACGUUACCCGCAGAAGAAGCACCGGCUAACUCCGUGCCAGCCGCCGCAGUAA
rnacentral:rRNA from 1 species